AAUAUACUCAGAACCUGUAUAAUAUCUCAACAAGAAAUAAUCUUACUCCAUAUGAGUUAACAAUUUAGGUUGGGGUGACCUCGGAAUAAAAACUAACCUCCGAGAAAACUUAUUGAGACCAACAAGUCAAAAUAUAUUACACUAAAUUGAUCCGCUACUUAGCGACCAACGAAACAAGUUACCCUAGGGAUAACAGCGCAAUCCUAUUAAAGAGUUCAUAUCGACAAUUAGGGUUUACGACCUCGAUGUUGGAUCAGGACAUCGCAAUGGUGCAGCAGCUAUUAAUGUGUUCGUUUGUUCAACGAUUAAAGUCCUACGUGAUCUGAGUUCAGACCGAA
rnacentral:rRNA from 1 species